AUAAACUCAAAAGAGGAAAAAAAAAAAGGAUCCUAACUUACCUAUACCUAGACUUUACUUGACCUAAGAAAUUGUACGUAAUGAAAUUUACAUACUUAUUCAUUCUCUAAUGAACAUUUAUUUGUUGUGUUUAUGUUUUGUGCCAGCCUUUGUUAUACUUUGAUAUCUAAGAGGCAGUGUCUGCUCUGGUGGGACCUAGAGUCUAGUGGAGAAAAGACAUUAAACACAUUCUUACAGAAGUAAAUAUAGAGCUAUAAACUGUAAUAAAUGCUGUCAAGAAAAUGUACAUGGCCAUACAAAUGACUAGUGAAGGCACCCAAGAUUUAAAAAAAAAAAAAAAGUAAGGCUGUCUACGAAAGUAACAGGAUUUCCAGGCACUGAAUUUCUAAAUCAUUGAUAUAGAGACAGACCUGAGAAAAAUGUCUGUACUCUCUGAUCUGCUUAGAGUGCACAGAUGUGGUAAUGAAAGAUGAAUCUAGCAGUGAGAAAUACCCAUGCUCUGUAAUGAAUUGAAUUCCAGCUCUUUCUCAAGUUGACAAAUUUUGAACCCAUUUCUCAACUACAAAGUGAAAAUAAAGAGGCCACAGGAAGAAAAAUACCCUGUAGGACCAUGGCUGUUGGCACUAUUUGUUUUUGUUGUCUGUGGCUCAGCUAUCUUUCAGAUCAUUCAGAGCAUAAGGAUGGGGAUGUGAGACAGCCCGGGCAUCUGACUCUGUGCCCUCUCCCUGGAGGGUGGAAGACCACGCAGGCCUGUGACAGGUACCUGUGGGAAGCAAACAAGUCACAUAGAAGAGAAAGGAGGGUCCCCGUUGUUCCCUGAUCACGUCAUCAAGGAAGUCAGACCAGAUUGCCUUCUCACAGGAUAUCUCAGUACUUCCGUGUCCCCAAGCAGAAAGGACAUUCUGCUUUCCUGUUGGCCAGAUUGUUAGCCAGGCAGGUCACCUGCAGCAGUGCUGUCUGUCUGUUUUCCCCCUCAGUUUCACUAGUGUGUGCAUGUGACCCCCUGAAUGACCACUGGUUUAUUAUCUAAUAAUACAAUCUCUCCUCUGUCGGGAAUUGGUUUUACAAAUAAAUGUCUUCAUUCAAGCUUAUACCAUGUGUGGGUUACCAGAAGAAAAGC